GAACCACUUAUGUUAGGCCUACCUUUUGUUUCAGUACCAGCAUAUGAUUUUCCAUCAGUUAAGUUCGGCGUCGCCUGGAAAUAUGAUGGAAAGGCCUGAGCGCUCUACCCGGUCAAAAGGACAGCGGGGGAAUGAAGGAGAAAGCUCCGAUAUGCCUACUGCUGUUAGUAAUAUCGAAAAUAUUCAACCACACAAAGUGCAAUGGAAGAAAAGGUCGGAAGAGCUGCAGUCCCGAAUCAAUGAGCUGGAGGAGGAGAAUGCUUUGCUCAAGCAGCAGCUUGAGCAAAGGCCUUCAGCAAAUCAAGGUGAGAAAAUGGACAACACUGCCACCGACCCAGAGUCAGACACUGACUCGAGUUCCAACUCCAGCACUGACUCCACCGAUUCCAGGAGCAGUGAUACAAGCUCUUCCUCCUCUGAUGGCCGCAAGAAAAAGAGGAAGCACAAAAAGAAAAACAAAAAGAAGAGCAAAAAGGCUUCAAAGAACAAAGGACUUCGAGGUAAAGUAAACUAUAGAGUUGUGCUGUAUUUCUUUAGGUUUGGACAUUAAAUAUAGUGUAUACAGCUUAGGGCAGAAUUAUUAGCACCCCUAUGAAAAUUUCAUUUUUCUAAAAGUACAUACUAACCCUUACCCUGCAACUAAGACAAACCACAACAAUCUUUGGGGAGAAGUAAACUGUAUAUAUAUUGGUGUUUUAUUGUUGUUAAUUUAUUUUCCAUUUUCAGUGACAACAAUAUCGGAUGUUGUUAAAAGGUACCGCCGGGUCCUUAAACUAAUUCAAAAAGGACGCAAGAUGUCGAGGGCAUUCCUGAAGGCACGUGUUUCUAGAAACGCAGUUAAAGACACCGCAGCAAUCGCGGAGCUCUACAUUGCAGAGAGGAGUGUCCUGGAUGGAAUCAAAGGCGAACAGAGGCUCCUUCAUUUAGCAAAGCUCUGCCAGUCCAAAAUUGUUGGAGAACUUGCCCUUAAAAUUGAAGAGCUGAAGAGGAAAAAAAAACUCAUACCAUUCUCCAAAAAGGGUUAAAGGGACAGGGGUGAAAGGAGAGAGUUUUUUUAAUUAAACGAUAAAUCCCGUGUAAAAUGGAUCUGGGAUAUGUUUAAUAUGAUAAUGAGAUGGGAUGUUCGUUUGGGAGCAAAAAACCACAUGCAGACGCAUUCUUAAGUUGGCUGUUUUUAGCCGAUUCUACCAAAACGCUAUAAGCUUGGAACGAUGUCUCGUGGUAAAAACAAAAUCGCUAUUUUAAACAGUUUAAAAGGCUAGAAAUAGCCCGACACUUCUUUGGUAGUAUAGUAAGGGUCUUAAAAUAUAAAACGAGGCAUUGAUAACUUUGUAAGUGUACAGAUUGUUUAUUACAAAUUACAUUUUAUACACACAAUGCCAUCAGUUGUUCACCUGUCGACGCCAUUUUGUAUUUAAGACUCGAUAUAAGUACAUUGACAAAUACAGUGAUUGUGACCUCCGGGAAGAACACGCAAGCUAAGCUCUGUGUUCGCCAUUCUACUUAUCAAGUCUUAAAUACAAGAUGGUGUUGAUGGGUGAACUUCUGAUGGUAUUGUGUGCUUAAAAUAUCAUUUUUAAUAAACAAUCUGUACACUUACAAAGUUAUCAAUGCCUCGUUUUAUAUUUUAAGACCCUUAUUAUACUACCAAAGAAGUGUCGGGCUACUUCUAUCCUUUUAAGUGGUUUAAAAUAGCAAUUUCGUUUUUACCACGAGACUUGCCCCCAUCGUUCCAAGUUUAUAGCGUUUUGGUAGAAUCGGCUAAAAACAGCCAACUUAAGAAUGCGUCUACAUUCACUUUUUUGCUCCCAAAUGAACAUCCCAUUUCGUUAUCAUGUUAAACAUAUCCCAGAUCCAUUUUACACCGGAUUUAUCCUUUAAUUUUUUUUCUUUUUUAAAAAGUUCAAAGUAAGCCUGGUUGAAGUUCUUUGACUUACUAUACAUGUACAUUGCCCUUUGAACUCUUCGCCUUUGUACCACAAUUUCUGAUUACGUUUAGUUAUUUAUUUUCAAAUAAUAAAGUUGUUUUCCGUGUCUGAUAUCCUGCUUAUGUUUUGUUUAUUU
ensembl:lncRNA